CAGAGGGGGCAAGCGUUGUUCGGAAUUACUGGGCGUAAAGGGCGCGUAGGCGGCCUGCUAAGUCGAACGUGAAAUCCCUGGGCUCAACCCAGGAACUGCGUCCGAUACUGGUUGGCUUGAAUCCGGGAGAGGGACGUGGAAUUCCAGGUGUAGCGGUGAAAUGCGUAGAUAUCUGGAGGAACACCGGUGGCGAAGGCGACGUCCUGGACCGGCAUUGACGCUGAGGCGCGAAAGCCAGGGGAGCAAACGGGAUUAGAUACCCCGGUAGUCCUGGCCCUAAACGAUGAAUGCUUGGUGUGGUGGGUAUCGAUCCCUACCGUGCCGAAGCUAACGCAUUAAGCAUUCCGCCUGGGGAGUACGGUCGCAAGGCUG
rnacentral:rRNA from 1 species